rnacentral:piRNA from 1 species
UACCAACUGCUCCAAAAAUGACUCUG